rnacentral:rRNA from 1 species
GGAGGGGGGCCAGCGUUAUUCGGAAUUAUUGGGCGUAAAGGGCGCGUAGGCGGGUUUGGCAAGUCAGUUGUGAAAGCCCUCGGGCUCAACCGAGGAACUGCGACUGAAACUGCCGAACUUGAGUCCCGGAGAGGGUAGCGGAAUUCCCAGUGUAGCGGUGAAAUGCGUAGAUAUUGGGAGGAACACCGGUGGCGAAGGCGGCUACCUGGACGGGUACUGACGCUGAGGCGCGAAAGCGUGGGGAGCAAACAGGAUUAGAUACCCUGGUAGUCCACGCUGUAAACGAUGGGCACUUGGUGUUGCGGGUAUCGACCCCUGCAGUGCCGAAGCUAACGCAUUAAGUGCCCCGCCUGGGGAGUACGGUCGCAAAGGCUG